CAGUCGCCGCGGUAAUACGUAGGGUGCGAGCGUUAAUCGGAAUUACUGGGCGUAAAGCGUGCGCAGGCGGUUCGUUAAGACAGAUGUGAAAUCCCCGGGCUUAACCUGGGAACUGCAUUUGUGACUGGCGGGCUAGAGUAUGGCAGAGGGGGGUAGAAUUCCACGUGUAGCAGUGAAAUGCGUAGAGAUGUGGAGGAAUACCGAUGGCGAAGGCAGCCCCCUGGGCCAAUACUGACGCUCAUGCACGAAAGCGUGGGGAGCAAACAGGAUUAGAUACCCGCGUAGUCCCUGUCUCUUAUAA
rnacentral:rRNA from 1 species